rnacentral:rRNA from 1 species
CACCUCCAGCAUUUCUAGUAUUGGAGGCACUGCCUGCCCAGUGACGCUCGUUUAACGGCCGCGGUAUCCUGACCGUGCAAAGGUAGCAUAAUCAUUUGUUCCCUAAAUAGGGACUUGUAUGAAUGGCUACACGAGGGUUUAACUGUCUCUUACUCCCAAUCAGUGAAAUUGACCUUCCCGUGAAGAGGCGGGAAUAUUAUAAUAAGACGAGAAGACCCUGUGGAGCUUUAAUUAACUAACCCAAACAUAUGGUUAUUACACACCUAUAAGGCAUAACAUAACACCAUUGUUAUGAGUUGGCAAUUUAGGUUGGGGUGACCUCGGAAUAUAAAAAAACUUCCGAGUGAUUAAAAUUUAGACCCACAAGUCAAAAUGUAGUAUCACUUAUUGAUCCAAUAGUUUUUGAUCAACGGAACAAGUUACCCUAGGGAUAACAGCGCAAUCCUAUUCAAGAGUUCAUAUCGACAAUAGGGUUUACGACCUCGAUGUUGGAUCAGGACAUCCUAAUGGUGCAGCAGCUAUUAAGGGUUCGUUUGUUCAACGAUUAAAGUCCU